rnacentral:rRNA from 1 species
AAUGGGUCAGCGACUUAUAUUCUGUAGCAAGGUUAACCGAAUAGGGGAGCCGAAGGGAAACCGAGUCUUAACUGGGCGUUAAGUUGCAGGGUAUAGACCCGAAACCCGGUGAUCUAGCCAUGGGCAGGUUGAAGGUUGGGUAACACUAACUGGAGGACCGAACCGACUAAUGUUGAAAAAUUAGCGGAUGACUUGUGGCUGGGGGUGAAAGGCCAAUCAAACCGGGAGAUAGCUGGUUCUCCCCGAAAGCUAUUUAGGUAGCGCCUCGUGAAUUCAUCUCCGGGGGUAGAGCACUGUUUCGGCAAGGGGGUCAUCCCGACUUACCAACCCGAUGCAAACUGCGAAUACCGGAGAAUGUUAUCACGGGAGACACACGGCGGGUGCUAACGUCCGUCGUGAAGAGGGAAACAACCCAGACCGCCAGCUAAGGUCCCAAAGUCAUGGUUAAGUGGGAAACGAUGUGGGAAGGCCCAGACAGCCAGGAUGUUGGCUUAGAAGCAGCCAUCAUUUAAAGAAAGCGUAAUAGCUCACUGGUCGAGUCGGCCUGCGCGGAAGAUGUAACGGGGCUAAACCAUGCACCGAAGCUGCGGCAGCGACGCUUAUGCGUUGUUGGGUAGGGGAGCGUUCUGUAAGCCUGCGAAGGUGUGCUGUGAGGCAUGCUGGAGGUAUCAGAAGUGCGAAUGCUGACAUAAGUAACGAUAAAGCGGGUGAAAAGCCCGCUCGCCGGAAGACCAAGGGUUCCUGUCCAACGUUAAUCGGGGCAGGGUGAGUCGACCCCUAAGGCGAGGCCGAAAGGCGUAGUCGAUGGGAAACAGGUUAAUAUUCCUGUACUUGGUGUUACUGCGAAGGGGGGACGGAGAAGGCUAUGUUGGCCGGGCGACGGUUGUCCCGGUUUAAGCGUGUAGGCUGGUUUUCCAGGCAAAUCCGGAAAAUCAAGGCUGAGGCGUGAUGACGAGGCACUACGGUGCUGAAGCAACAAAUGCCCUGCUUCCAGGAAAAGCCUCUAAGCAUCAGGUAACAUCAAAUCGUACCCCAAACCGACACAGGUGGUCAGGUAGAGAAUACCAAGGCGCUUGAGAGAACUCGGGUGAAGGAACUAGGCAAAAUGGUGCCGUAACUUCGGGAGAAGGCACGCUGAUAUGUAGGUGAAGUCCCUCGCGGAUGGAGCUGAAAUCAGUCGAAGAUACCAGCUGGCUGCAACUGUUUAUUAAAAACACAGCACUGUGCAAACACGAAAGUGGACGUAUACGGUGUGACGCCUGCCCGGUGCCGGAAGGUUAAUUGAUGGGGUUAGCGCAAGCGAAGCUCUUGAUCGAAGCCCCGGUAAACGGCGGCCGUAACUAUAACGGUCCUAAGGUAGCGAAAUUCCUUGUCGGGUAAGUUCCGACCUGCACGAAUGGCGUAAUGAUGGCCAGGCUGUCUCCACCCGAGACUCAGUGAAAUUGAACUCGCUGUGAAGAUGCAGUGUACCCGCGGCAAGACGGAAAGACCCCGUGAACCUUUACUAUAGCUUGACACUGAACAUUGAGCCUUGAUGUGUAGGAUAGGUGGGAGGCUUUGAAGUGUGGACGCCAGUCUGCAUGGAGCCGACCUUGAAAUACCACCCUUUAAUGUUUGAUGUUCUAACGUGGACCCGUAAUCCGGGUUGCGGACAGUGUCUGGUGGGUAGUUUGACUGGGGCGGUCUCCUCCUAAAGAGUAACGGAGGAGCACGAAGGUUGGCUAAUCCUGGUCGGACAUCAGGAGGUUAGUGCAAUGGCAUAAGCCAGCUUGACUGCGAGCGUGACGGCGCGAGCAGGUGCGAAAGCAGGUCAUAGUGAUCCGGUGGUUCUGAAUGGAAGGGCCAUCGCUCAACGGAUAAAAGGUACUCCGGGGAUAACAGGCUGAUACCGCCCAAGAGUUCAUAUCGACGGCGGUGUUUGGCACCUCGAUGUCGGCUCAUCACAUCCUGGGGCUGAAGUAGGUCCCAAGGGUAUGGCUGUUCGCCAUUUAAAGUGGUACGCGAGCUGGGUUUAGAACGUCGUGAGACAGUUCGGUCCCUA